rnacentral:rRNA from 1 species
AUGCGCGAGCAGACGCCUGACCUCGCCCGUCCGCCGCAGCUAGUAACUGCCGCCGAUCGUCAGGAACACCGUCGGCAGCAGCACCGACUCGUCAUCGCUGAGGCGGAUGAGCGAGCCAUGGCGGAGUGGCGCCAGCACCACCCAGAGGACGUCGCCAAUAAGAACGCCUUCUGGGAGAGGAGGGCAAGGCGGCACGCGGAACGGGCGGACAUGCAUCGUUGGAAGGCACUGGUGAUAUCGCAGUGCGAUCUAGGACAUGCAUCAUUCUUCUCCGAAGACGACGAUUGGUGGGCAGACGCGUUUGUUGAUAUGUCGGACGACACAAGUGAGGAGGAAGAGGACGACAACUCGGAGUAG